UCGCCAUCACUGUUGCUGUGCUGCAGCUCCCCGCUCUGCCCCAGCUCUCUCCCAACAUCUUCCAUGAGUUGCUCCAGGUCCAGGUCACUGGAGGCUUCGUCCUCAAGGGGGACACUUCCAGCCUCCUGGGUCAGGGGUUCCCGGUGUCUGGGCUCUUCUUUCGCAGAUGAGGGGCAGGCCCCCUUACACGCUGAUAGGCCCAGGUUCUUUGGCACUGUUCUAACUUCUUUUCCCUCUGAAAAGCUGGCUGCCAAGGCCUUGCUCUGGGGAGCUUUAAAUUUUUUCUUAGGGCCUAAAUGAGAAGGUGACAAAGCCAAGAGUCCUAUUAGGUCAGCCUGUCCUUACCUUUUAUAAGUCAAACUCCUAAAUCUCUAUUUCCAAGAAAUCUCUGGAAAAGAUGACCUUUCUCAAUACAAAGAAUAUGGACUUUGGGAUCAGAAAGAGAGUCAAGCCGUCUGCCCUAUGCUAGUCACCAGCCUUGAGCACUUUUUAAAUCCUUUGAGCCUCAGUUUUCUAAUAUCUAAAAUGGGAAUAUCCAGUGAGAGAGCUAUUGAAAAAAAUUUAAAGGAGCAGGCAUGGAAGUAUCUCUUUAGCCAGCCCUUGGCAAUACUGAUUAAGUGUUACUUCUCUUCUACCAUUCUCCUGCCCCUGGGCCAAAUCAAAUCAGGAAUCAUUCUGUUUCUAUAGUGUGUGCUGGGUGCAGUCCGAGACGCUCUUUCAUUCUAAUUUUCAUUCAUUCUGUAAAGUAAUGAAAAGCUGUAAAAUGGUUAAGAAAUGAUUCAGGGAGGGGAGAUGCUGACAGGCACCUCAUUCCCCUUAGUUUUUCCCAGGCCUUGAGCCUUACCUGGCUGGUCAGAAUCUGAAUUCCCUUGGCCUUCUUUCCUUCCCAUUCUGGGUGCAGGAGGAGCUGUGGAUUUCCUGCCUAGAGAUCUCUUCAUUAUCUUCCUCUGCAGUGUCCUGCCUCGGCCAUCUGCUGUGCCUGCAUCACCCCCAAGCCCUUUUUCUCUCCUUCCUCCUUUUCCAACUCUUCCUCUUUCUCCUUUUUCUCUAAGCAGGAUCCUGGGCUGUUCAAACCAGAGAGCUGUAAGUCUUUUCUUUCCCCAUUACUGUUAGAUCCGUUGAAUCGGCUCCAGAAACCAAACAAGUUAACCCGUUCCUAAGGGAACCAAGAAACAAAAGCAUCAUCCACUACCCUUUCAGGCGCAGCUUUUGCCUUCUGUCUUCUGGAAUUUAGUUAUGAUGAAAUUCUGAUUCAUUUUCCAUACCAAAAUUAUCAUUAUUAUUAUUUUUGAGACAGGGUCUUGCUCUGUCACCCAGGCUGGAGUGCAGUGGUACAAUCUUUACUCACUGCAACCUCCCCAUCCCUGGCUCAAAUGAUCCUCCUGCCUUAGCCUCCCAAGUAUGUGGGACUGCAGGCAUGCACCACCAUGCCUGGCUAAUUUUGUAUUUUUUGCAGAGAUGGGGUUUUGCCGUGUUGCCUAGGCUGGUCUUGAACUCCUGGACUCAAUGGAUACACCUGCCUUG
rnacentral:lncRNA from 1 species